rnacentral:rRNA from 1 species
CCCAUUGAUUGACGGUGCUUGCACCUGAUUGAUUUUGGUCGCCAACGAGUGGCGGACGGGUGAGUAACACGUAGGUAACCUGCCCAGAAGCGGGGGACAACAUUUGGAAACAGAUGCUAAUACCGCAUAACAACGUUGUUCGCAUGAACAACGCUUAAAAGAUGGCUUCUCGCUAUCACUUCUGGAUGGACCUGCGGUGCAUUAGCUUGUUGGUGGGGUAACGGCCUACCAAGGCGAUGAUGCAUAGCCGAGUUGAGAGACUGAUCGGCCACAAUGGGACUGAGACACGGCCCAUACUCCUACGGGAGGCAGCAGUAGGGAAUCUUCCACAAUGGGCGCAAGCCUGAUGGAGCAACACCGCGUGAGUGAAGAAGGGUUUCGGCUCGUAAAGCUCUGUUGUUAAGGAAGAACACGUAUGAGAGUAACUGUUCAUACGUUGACGGUAUUUAACCAGAAAGUCACGGCUAACUACGUGCCAGCAGCCGCGGUAAUACGUAGGUGGCAAGCGUUAUCCGGAUUUAUUGGGCGUAAAGAGAGUGCAGGCGGUUUUCUAAGUCUGAUGUGAAAGCCUUCGGCUUAACCGGAGAAGUGCAUCGGAAACUGGAUAACUUGAGUGCAGAAGAGGGUAGUGGAACUCCAUGUGUAGCGGUGGAAUGCGUAGAUAUAUGGAAGAACACCAGUGGCGAAGGCGGCUACCUGGUCU